AACAAAGUGAGAUAUCGACAAAACUUAAAGAUUGGCCGGGACAGGGUCUCCUUGUUGCUGAACCAUCGUUUAAAACGCACAGAUUUAACUCGUCUAUAAGCUCCACAAGAUCACUACCAAAUGAAUCAUUGACUGGUGCACCCCAAAGAGAAUGGUGUGCAUUAAAAUCACCUAAAAUUAACACAGGCGCAGGAAGAGAUAGGAUUAAAUUUCUUAAAAUCGGAAUAACAGAUGAAUCUUUGCAAGAAAUGUAUACAGACAGUACUGAAAUAUCCCCAAUUUUUGCAGCUACUGCAUUCAAGUGAUUAUUAUUGUAGGAAGGAAGUGCUAGUGAUGUAAAUAAGUAAUGUUUUUUAAUCAGUAGAGCGGCACCACCCCACCCAUCAUCUCUGUCAUCUCUCAAGACUGAAUAGCCACGAACUCUAAAGUUAUAGCCUGGCUUCAGCCAGGUUUCAGAGACAGCUAUGGCAAAUGGCUGGUGUUGGUUAAUUAAUGUAAUGAGUUCAAUUGUUUUAGACGAAAUGCUUCUACAAUUCCACUGGAGGAUUUGAUCCAUUUUUGAUAAUGUUAUAAAUAGAGACUGACAAGUUGUUAAUUAAAGAAAUGGCAACGGAGUACGGUAAUGCAGAGUUAACUAUAAUAUUAAUCAAUGAAGACAGCAGAUUAUUUAGAUCCUGAGAGGAGACAGAGUUUUGAAGGUGAAGGUGAUUUGGGAGAACUAGCUGUGACAUCUGAGUAUGACUUAGUGAAUGGAAACUGUUUAGAGGCUUCUAGAUAUGAUACUGUGUUAACUGACAUAUAAUGCUUUAUGUUUUUUUGUCGUAUAAAUUCGGGACAGGUUUGUUCAUUUGCUUGAUGUUUCCCUGCACAA